rnacentral:rRNA from 1 species
AUUGAACGCUGGCGGAAUGCUUUACACAUGCAAGUCGAACGGCAGCACGGGAGCUUGCUCCUGGUGGCGAGUGGCGAACGGGUGAGUAACAUAUCGGAACGUACCCAGUCGUGGGGGAUAACUAUCCGAAAGGAUAGCUAAUACCGCAUACGUCCUGAGGGAGAAAGCGGGGGAUCGCAAGACCUCGCGCGAUUGGAGCGGCCGAUAUCGGAUUAGCUAGUUGGUGGGGUAAAGGCUCACCAAGGCGACGAUCCGUAGCGGGUCUGAGAGGACGACCCGCCACACUGGAACUGAGACACGGUCCAGACUCCUACGGGAGGCAGCAGUGGGGAAUUUUGGACAAUGGGGGCAACCCUGAUCCAGCCAUUCCGCGUGAGUGAAGAAGGCCUCGGUUGUAAGUACUCUUUCUAGCAGGAACGAAACGGUAACGGCGUUAAUAAAGUA